UGCUACACCAUAGACUGUGAGUUGCGAACGGGUGAGUAACGCGUAGGUAACCUGCCUGGUAGCGGGGGAUAACUAUUGGAAACGAUAGCUAAUACCGCAUAAUAUUAAUUAUUGCAUGAUAAUUGAUUGAAAGAUGCAACUGCAUCACUACCAGAUGGACCUGCGUUGUAUUAGCUAGUAGGUGAGGUAACGGCUCACCUAGGCGACGAUACAUAGCCGACCUGAGAGGGUGAUCGGCCACACUGGGACUGAGACACGGCCCAGACUCCUACGGGAGGCAGCAGUAGGGAAUCUUCGGCAAUGGACGAAAGUCUGACCGAGCAACGCCGCGUGAGUGAAGAAGGUUUUCGGAUCGUAAAGCUCUGUUGUAAGAGAAGAACGGGUGUGAGAGUGGAAAGUCACACUGUGACGUAUCUACCAGAA
rnacentral:rRNA from 1 species